rnacentral:rRNA from 1 species
GUGGGCCACCAUACAACCCUGAAUACGCCCGAUCUAAUCUGAGUCUCAGAAGCUAAGCAGGGUUGGGCUAGGUUAGGACUUGGGUGAGGGGCCACCUGGGAACAUUGGGUGAUAUAAGCU